rnacentral:rRNA from 1 species
GAUGAACGCUGGCGGCGUGCCUAACACAUGCAAGUCGUACGAGCUCGAUCUUCGGAACGGGUUAGUGGCGCACGGGUGAGUAACACGUAGGUGACCUACCCCAGAGUGGGGGAUAACUUCUCGAAAGAGAGGCUAAUACCGCAUACACUCGGUCAUUCAUUUGGCCGAGCAAAGCUCCGGCGCUUUGGGACGGGCCUGCGUCCGAUUAGCUAGUUGGUAGGGUAAUGGCUUACCAAGGCUUUGAUCGGUAGCUGGUCUGAGAGGACGAUCAGCCACACUGGCACUGACACACGGGCCAGACUCCUACGGGAGGCAGCAGUGAGGAAUAUUGGGCAAUGGGCGAAAGCCUGACCCAGCAACGCCGCGUGAGGGAUGAAGGCCUCGGUUGUAACUACUUCUGGUAGAAGAGACAAGGACGGUAUCCCAGGAAUAAGUACUCGGCUAACUACGUAGCCAGCAGCCGCGGUAA